GAAUUCGAUUCAGGCCUAACACAUGCAAGUCGAACGCCCAGCAAUGGGAGUGGCAGACGGGUGAGGAACACGUGGGAACGUGCCUUUUGGUUCGGAAUAACUCAGGGAAACUUGUGCUAAUACCGGAUAAGCCCUUCGGGGGAAAGAUUUAUCGCCAAAAGAUCGGCCCGCGUCUGAUUAGCUAGUUGGUGAGGUAACGGCUCACCAAGGCGACGAUCAGUAGCUGGUCUGAGAGGAUGAUCAGCCACACUGGGACUGAGACACGGCCCAGACUCCUACGGGAGGCAGCAGUGGGGAAUAUUGGACAAUGGGGGCAACCCUGAUCCAGCCAUGCCGCGUGAGUGAAGAGAGGUCUUCGGAUUGUAAAGCUCUUUGGCGGGGACG
rnacentral:rRNA from 1 species